rnacentral:rRNA from 1 species
UACGUAGGGGCCAAGCGUUGUCCGGAUUUAUUGGGCGUAAAGAGCUCGUAGGUGGUUUGUCGCGUCUGUCGUGAAAGCCCAUGGCUUAACUCCGAAACUGCAUUCGAUACUGCCGUGCUUGAGGACUGGAGAGGAGACUGGAAUUUACGGUGUAGCGGUGAAAUGCGUAGAUAUCGUAAGGAAGACCAGUGGCGAAGGCGGGUCUCUGGACAGUUCCUGACGCUGAGGCACGAAGGCCAGGGGAGCAAACGGG